rnacentral:lncRNA from 1 species
CUAAUAAAGUAAAAAGGGAAGAAGCCCCACAAAGCCAUAGACAAGCAACAUGUUGCAAAAGCAUCCAAAAAUUUAUAAUCCUUUUUGACAUAAAACACAACCCACCAAAAAAUAGACAAAAGUUGAGAAGUGAUGGCGGAUGAAGGUGCAUGGAGAGCCAAAAUUUUCAAACAUGUACAGCAUAAUGCAUACACAAAAAGGAUCCUUUCGCUUGCUUGCAUAUACAUAAAGAUCCCUUUAGCCAAGGCUUUAAAAGGAGGUAGCCCCCCACCCCCAGCUUUAGGGCGGGCAGUAGGCACACCAUGCUUUGCCUUCAAAAAUACCACAUCCUGGCUAAAACCAAACCAAACCAACAAACAAAUCUCUCCACUCCACUAAUUAAAUUGUCCACAGGGGACAAUUUUUUUCCCCUGUGGAAACGUGCCGGCACUACUGCACAUUAAAAGAGAAAAGUGCAUGCGGAAGCAGGAACAUUAAUAUAUAAGAUAUGCGCGCACAGCAAAAUAUCACAGGCACUGCUGCCUCUGCCUCUUAGUAAAACCUUUCCCAUUUCUUUGCACCACCCUACCGCCACACAUCAAUUGCCUCAUAUACACUAUAGCUUUUCUCAACUCCAUGGCAUCGACACCGACACCGACACCGAUUUGCAUGUUCAGUUUUGCAGUCCGAAAAGUCAUUCUAGGUUUCAGUCUCGUGAGUUUCAUGAGAUGGAUGGCCUGUCUAGAUACUGUUUGAUGAUCAAAACUAGCGGCUAGUGCUAGAUGAUUUUGUGUGUCUUUUCAUCAAGGCGCAUGCAAGGGGGAAUCAAGCCUUCUGGUCCGAUCAUUAGUCGUUACUAGUAUUUAUUCAUUCAGAUUGAUUUAUCUUUCAAGUGUUUUAUUUACAGAUUUCUAAUACAUAUGCAACAUGUCACGUAUAUGGCAUGUGUACAUGUUGCCGUGUGUUUUUCUUAAUUACUCAACUUCUUCAUCUUUUUCUUUCUAAUUUAAGAUUUAGGGUUUUACGUACCUCUAUUAGAUUGCAUGAGUGCGUACUGUGGUACAAAUAACUGAGAAUAUGCCAGAUGUUACAGUGUGGAAGAUCGAUGUUGGUGUAUUAUCAGUAUUAUGAUUGCAGAUAUAUAUAUAUAUAUAUAUACAUGAUUUAUGUAGUUAAUACUUACCACUGCUUCUUGAUGAUAUGCAAUAAAAUUCUCAUUUAGCAUACGAGUUUCAGGACAUGGUAAAAGAAGGGGAAGAAAAAGGUUCCCGGAAAAUUUACACGCGUGUUAGAUGAUCAGAAGAUGAAUCUAAAGUUAAGGAAUAAGGAUAUUACGAUUUGUAGCAAAUAUACAAUUAGAUAUGGAUAUUAUCCAUCUAUAUUAUAAUUAUUCAUGAUUGAUACUCUAUAUUUCAUUUCUAGUUUUUGAUGCUGAAUAUGGAUAAGGUUUUAUCCGCGGAUAAAUAUCCUCUCCUAAUCUGAGCUCUCAUGAGCUUUUAAUGAUCUUGUACUAUGUGUAUUUAAGUGAUAGCGUA